rnacentral:rRNA from 1 species
GGGUUGUGAGGUUAAGCGACUAAGCGUACACGGUGGAUGCCCUGGCAGUCAGAGGCGAUGAAGGACGUGCUAAUCUGCGAAAAGCGUCGGUAAGGUGAUAUGAACCGUUAUAACCGGCGAUGUCCGAAUGGGGAAACCCAGUGCAAUUCGUUGCACUAUCGUUAACUGAAUACAUAGGUUAACGAGGCGAACCGGGGGAACUGAAACAUCUAAGUACCCCGAGGAAAAGAAAUCAACCGAGAUUCCCCCAGUAGCGGCGAGCGAACGGGGAGCAGCCCAGAGUCUGAAUCAGCUUGUGUGUUAGUGGAACGGUCUGGAAAGUCCGACGGUACAGGGUGAUAGUCCCGUACACCAAAAUGCACAGGUUGUGAACUCGAAGAGUAGGGCGGGACACGUGGUAUCCUGUCUGAAUAUGGGGGGACCAUCCUCCAAGGCUAAAUACUCCUGACUGACCGAUAGUGAACCAGUACCGUGAGGGAAAGGCGAAAAGAACCCCGGCGAGGGGAGUGAAAAAGAACCUGAAACCGUGUACGUACAAGCAGUGGGAGCACCUUCGGGUGUGACUGCGUACCUUUUGUAUAAUGGGUCAGCGACUUAUAUUCUGUAGCAAGGUUAACCGUAUAGGGGAGCCGCAGGGAAACCGAGUCUUAACUGGGCGUUAAGUUGCAGGGUAUAGACCCGAAACCCGGUGAUCUAGCCAUGGGCAGGUUGAAGGUUGGGUAACACUAACUGGAGGACCGAACCGACUAAUGUUGAAAAAUUAGCGGAUGACUUGUGGCUGGGGGUGAAAGGCCAAUCAAACCGGGAGAUAGCUGGUUCUCCCCGAAAGCUAUUUAGGUAGCGCCUCGUGAACUCAUCUUCGGGGGUAGAGCACUGUUUCGGCUAGGGGGUCAUCCCGACUUACCAACCCGAUGCAAACUACGAAUACCGAAGAAUGUUAUCACGGGAGACACACGGCGGGUGCUAACGUCCGUCGUGAAGAGGGAAACAACCCAGACCGCCAGCUAAGGUCCCAAAGUCAUGGUUAAGUGGGAAACGAUGUGGGAAGGCACAGACAGCCAGGAUGUUGGCUUAGAAGCAGCCAUCAUUUAAAGAAAGCGUAAUAGCUCACUGGUCGAGUCGGCCUGCGCGGAAGAUGUAACGGGGCUAAACCAUGCACCGAAGCUGCGGCAGCGACACUAUGUGUUGUUGGGUAGGGGAGCGUUCUGUAAGCCUGCGAAGGUGUGCUGUGAGGCAUGCUGGAGGUAUCAGAAGUGCGAAUGCUGACAUAAGUAACGAUAAAGCGGGUGAAAAGCCCGCUCGCCGGAAGACCAAGGGUUCCUGUCCAACGUUAAUCGGGGCAGGGUGAGUCGACCCCUAAGGCGAGGCCGAAAGGCGUAGUCGAUGGGAAACAGGUUAAUAUUCCUGUACUUGGUGUUACUGCGAAGGGGGGACGGAGAAGGCUAUGUUAGCCGGGCGACGGUUGUCCCGGUUUAAGCAUGUAGGCUGGUUAUCCAGGCAAAUCCGGAUAAUCAAGGCUGAGGUGUGAUGACGAGGCACUACGGUGCUGAAGUAACAAAUGCCCUGCUUCCAGGAAAAGCCUCUAAGCAUCAGGUAACAUCAAAUCGUACCCCAAACCGACACAGGUGGUCAGGUAGAGAAUACCAAGGCGCUUGAGAGAACUCGGGUGAAGGAACUAGGCAAAAUGGUGCCGUAACUUCGGGAGAAGGCACGCUGGUGUGUAGGUGAAGCCCCUGCGGGUGGAGCUGAGACCAGUCGAAGAUACCAGCUGGCUGCAACUGUUUAUUAAAAACACAGCACUGUGCAAACACGAAAGUGGACGUAUACGGUGUGACGCCUGCCCGGUGCCGGAAGGUUAAUUGAUGGGGUUAUCCGUAAGGAGAAGCUCUUGAUCGAAGCCCCGGUAAACGGCGGCCGUAACUAUAACGGUCCUAAGGUAGCGAAAUUCCUUGUCGGGUAAGUUCCGACCUGCACGAAUGGCGUAAUGAUGGCCAGGCUGUCUCCACCCGAGACUCAGUGAAAUUGAACUCGCUGUGAAGAUGCAGUGUACCCGCGGCAAGACGGAAAGACCCCGUGAACCUUUACUAUAGCUUGACACUGAACAUUGAGCCUUGAUGUGUAGGAUAGGUGGGAGGCUUUGAAGCGUGGACGCCAGUCUGCGUGGAGCCAACCUUGAAAUACCACCCUUUAAUGUUUGAUGUUCUAACGUUGGCCCCUUACCGGGGUUGCGGACAGUGUCUGGUGGGUAGUUUGACUGGGGCGGUCUCCUCCCAAAGCGUAACGGAGGAGCACGAAGGUUAGCUAAUCCUGGUCGGACAUCAGGAGGUUAGUGCAAUGGCAUAAGCUAGCUUGACUGCGAGCGUGACGGCGCGAGCAGGUGCGAAAGCAGGUCAUAGUGAUCCGGUGGUUCUGAAUGGAAGGGCCAUCGCUCAACGGAUAAAAGGUACUCCGGGGAUAACAGGCUGAUACCGCCCAAGAGUUCAUAUCGACGGCGGUGUUUGGCACCUCGAUGUCGGCUCAUCACAUCCUGGGGCUGAAGUAGGUCCCAAGGGUAUGGCUGUUCGCCAUUUAAAGUGGUACGCGAGCUGGGUUUAGAACGUCGUGAGACAGUUCGGUCCCUAUCUGCCGUGGGCGCUGGAGAAUUGAGGGGGGCUGCUCCUAGUACGAGAGGACCGGAGUGGACGCAUCACUGGUGUUCGGGUUGUCAUGCCAAUGGCACUGCCCGGUAGCUAAAUGCGGAAGAGAUAAGUGCUGAAAGCAUCUAAGCACGAAACUUGCCCCGAGAUGAGUUCUCCCUGAGACUUUAAGUCUCCUGAAGGAACGUU